rnacentral:lncRNA from 1 species
UUUCUAUACUGGCGCCACCUGUUAAUGUCUCAUUCUGGAAGCAAUCGGUAGAUUGUGUGCCAGAAAUAAUUUGGAUCACUCUUUUUCCUCCAGUCUUCUUUUUUUGGAAAAACCUAGCUAUCGACAUUUGGUUUGCCAUUGCUGGAACUACUAAAUUACCUUAGCUGAUGUAUUACAUGGUCUGUCACGCGGCCUUAUGGACUCUGCUGGUACUGCUCUUGGCCAUCUCGGGGUGCACCUUGGCAAGUGCCUAAAAGAGUGUGUGUGAACAAAUCUCACUCAUUGUUACCUGCAUCAACAAAAACCUGACAGAGGUUCCUCUCACAAUGAGAUCACAGUGAAGCUGGAUCUGAGAGGCAACAACAUCCAGGAGCUGCCAUCAGGUGCGUUCAAACGCAUGCCAUACCUGAUGCACCUGUCCAUGCAGCGCAGCAACAUCCACACCAUAAAGGAGGGGGCGUUCCCUGCUCUGGGCCGCCUCGUCUUCCUCAACCUGGCCAACAACAACAUCGAGAUCCACUAUCAGGAGGCGUUCGACGGUCUCUCCUCGCUGAAGCAGCUAAUGAUUGACCACAACCCGGUGGAGGAGAUCCAGCCAGAGAUCUUCUCUCAGCUGGGCUUCCUCAACUUGCUUUCCCUUGCCCACAACCAGCUCACCAACAACCCCAACAUGGCUGAUGGGGAUCUGCGGGGGACCGACUCACUUCUCUGGGGAGAACCUGGAGGCCAUCCACUUCCUGGACCUGCGCUGCCAGAGCCAGGAGGCCAUGCUAAAGGCUGAGUUUGAGGAGCAGACAAGGGGGAUUCCAACCCCCACCCCCCGAGCCCACCGACAAUGUCAAGUGUCCCGCCAACUGUGCCUGCAAGGUUGAGACACACCACUCCUCUGAGAACUGCGGCCACACCAAAGUCCCCCACGGCUUCUCCCCCAACACACGCCUCCUCAACCUGCGAGGCCUCCGGUUCAAGCUGCUACAUGGCCUGCUCGCCCUUCACAUGGAGAACAAUUCCAUCGCCAAGCUGUAGCCAGGGAUUCUGACUGGGGAUGAGAAGUUGAGCGGGCUCUAUCUGAGGUGGUGCCCAGUGAUGCGUUAGCAAAGACGGGCAACCUGGGAGCAUUACAGCCGUCGGGGAAUCCCAUUUGCUGGAGUGGGCCGCAUGUUUUCCAGCUAUUGGCUAGGGCACUGAAGGAUCUGUAUCUGGAUGGCAUGGGAUUGGAGAAGAUGUCUAAGGACUCUGGCAGGACUGAGUGCUGGUCUUAGGAGUCUCUACCUGGAGAGGAUCCAGCUGGAGGAGGUGCCCGACUUCAACCCUCUGAUCGGCCUGGAUGUCAUCAACCUGGCAGAGAACCCUCUUCUGCCCCUUGCUGCCGCUACGCAUGUACGACUUACACACGUUAUGCUCGCUCUUUCAUACACUCACUCUGACACAUGCUUGAAAACUCCCCCUCUCUCAUGUAUACACUCAGAUACAUGCUCUAACCCACUCAUGUUCACUCUUUCAUACAAACAUGUAUUAAUUGCCUACAGUACCAGUCAAAGGUUUGGACACACCUACUCAUUCCAGUCUAUUUUUUCCCCUUAUUUUUUAGACAUUGUAGAAUAGUGAAGGCUAUGAAAAAAAAAAGUUGAAAUAACACAUAUGUUAUCAUGUAGUAACCAAAAAAGUGUCAAACAAAUCAAAAUAUAUUUUAGAUUCUUUAAAGUAGCCACCCUUUGCCAUGAUGACAUCUUUGCACACUCUUAGCAUUCUCUCAACCAGCUUCAUCCAGGCUGCACCACAUCCGGCUGUGAUCGGGAGUCCCAUAGGGCGACGCACAAUUGGCCCAGCGUCUUCCGGGUUUGGCCGGGGUAGGCCGUCAUUGUAAAUAAGAAUUUGUUCUUAACUGACUAGCCUAGUUAAAUAAAUAAUUAGGUAGUCACCUGGAAUGCAUUUCAAUGAACAGGUGUGCCUUGUUAAAAGUUCAUUUGUGUAAUUUCUUUCCUCCUUAAUGCAUUUGAGCAAAUCAGUUGUGUUGUGACAAGGUAGGGGUGGUAUACAGAAGAUAGCCCUAUUUGGUCAAAGACCAAGUCCAUAUUAUGGCAAGAACAGCUCAAAUAAGCAAAGACAAAUGACAGUCCAUUACUUUAAGACAUGAAAGUCAGUCAUUGUGGAAAAUGUCAAGUUUCUUCAAGUGUAUUCGCGUAAACCAUCAAGCGCUAUGAUGAAACUGGCUCUCAUGAGGACCGCCACAGAAAAGGAAGACCCAGAGUUACCUUUGCUGGAGAGGAUAAGUUCAUUAGAGUUAACAGCCUCAGAAAUUGAAGUAAUGUGGUAUACUGCUGAAUUUCAUUUCAUUUUUG